rfam:Schistosoma margrebowiei strain Zambia genome assembly, scaffold: SMRZ_contig0002791
AUCCAACUGAUGAAUCUCAAAUAGGACGAAAUGUGCGUCCUGGAU